rnacentral:rRNA from 1 species
UGCUAGUCGAGCGCUUCAAGCCAAAAAGAGGCGCGGCAUACAGCUCAGUAACACGUGGCUAAUCUGCCCUUGGGAUAGGAAUAACCCCGGGAAACUGGGGCUAAUUCCCAAUAGGCGAAGAACUCUGGAAUGAGUCUUUACCAGAAAAGACGCUUGCGUUAUGCUCGUAGGCGUCGCCCAAGGAUGAGGCCGCGACCGAUCAGGUUGUUGGUGAGGUAAUGGCUCACCAAGCCUUUUACCGGUGCGGGCCGUGAGAGCGGGAGCCCGGAGAUGGGCACUGAGACAAGGGCCCAGGCCCUACGGGGCGCAGCAGUCGCGAAAACUUUGCAAUAAGCGAAAGCUUGACAGGGCUAUCCCGAGUGCCAUCCGCUGAGGAAGGCUUUUACCCAGUCUAGAACGCUGGGGGAAUAAGGAGAGGGCAAGUCUGGUGUCAGCCGCCGCGGUAAUACCAGCUCUCCGAGUGGUGUGGAUGUUUAUUGGGCCUAAAGCAUCCGUAGCUGGCUAAGUUAGUCCCUUGUUAAAUCCACCGAAUUAAUCGUUGGAUUGCGGGGGAUACUGCUUGGCUAGGGGACGAGAGAGGCAGACGGUAUUUCCGGGGUAGGGGUGAAAUCCUAUAAUCCCGGGAAGACCACCAGUGGCGAAGGCUGUCUGCUAGAACGCGCCCGACGGUGAGGGAUGAAAGCUGGGGGAGCGAACCGGAUUAGAUACCCGGGUAGUCCCAGCUGUAAACGAUGCAGCUAGGUGUUUGGACGGCCACGUGCCGUUCUAGUGCCGCAGGAAGCUGUUAAGCCUGCCGCCUGGGGAGUACGAUCGCAAGAUUGAAACUUAA